AGUGAACGCUGGCGGUAGGCCUAACACAUGCAAGUCGAACGGCAGCACAGUAAGAGCUUGCUCUUACGGGUGGCGAGUGGCGGACGGGUGAGGAAUACAUCGGAAUCUACUUUUUCGUGGGGGAUAACGUAGGGAAACUUACGCUAAUACCGCAUACGACCUACGGGUGAAAGCAGGGGAUCUUCGGACCUUGCGCGAUUGAAUGAGCCGAUGUCGGAUUAGCUAGUUGGCGGGGUAAAGGCCCACCAAGGCGACGAUCCGUAGCUGGUCUGAGAGGAUGAUCAGCCAAACUGGAACUGAGACACGGUCCAGACUCCUACGGGAGGCAGCAGUGGGGAAUAUUGGACAAUGGGCGCAAGCCUGAUCCAGCCAUACCACGUGGGUGAAGAAGGCCUUCGGGUUGUAAAGCCCUUUUGUUGGGAAAGAAAAGAAGCAGGUUAAUACCCCGCUGUUCUGACGGUACCCAAAGAAUAAGCACCGGCUAACUUCGU
rnacentral:rRNA from 1 species